rnacentral:lncRNA from 1 species
AUGGAGGAGGAGGAGGAGGAGGAGGGGGAAGCGGCGCUGGCGAGCUACUGCAGAGCGAUGGUCGCUCGUGUCCGACUCCAGCAGCAGCAGCAGCGUCAGUCGUCGGGAGAGGGGGCGAGCAGGAGAAACAAUCCCGGAGGAGGCACAGGCAGGACUGGGAGGGAGGGAGAGGUUGAAGCGGGGGGCGCGUCGGGGGGGCGCGGGGAGAUUGGCCUCCCUCUCCCGGGCUGCACAGGACGGGAGAGGCAGCAGCCCUCCCCCGGUCUCGUGUGUCAAGGUCCCGAGGUUCGGCCCGUCCCCCUUCGACUCGUCUCCAUGCUGCGGCUCAAAACGUUCAAGGAGGAGGCGAAGCGGGCGGCAGAGGUGGAGCUCCAUGAUCCCGCUGUCUGCGACGAGUGUGCGCAGGAACGGGCCCAUCUGGCCUUGACAAGUUUUAUCUGGAGGAAGAAGACACAACUGCAGACUCGAACACCGAAGAGUAGACUAAACACACACCCGGGCCACGGAGAUCGCACCAGUUGGAUCUCCCAAAGUCGUCCCAGGCCCCUCUCUGGAUUUGGGAGGGAACAACUUGGUGAAGAUAUGCGGGUCACAGCAACCUGGGGUUGCCUUAGCAACGGCUGA